GCCAAUAUACUCGAGGAGGGGCCCUCGGGUGCUGCCCGUGGAGAAGGGUUUCUUGUGAACAGCCCGUUGUCCCAUGAGUCAGUCGAUCCUAAGCCCGGGGGAGAGAUCCUCGUACCCACGGGCGAAAGGCGUUUUCGAAUCGCCCUUGGGGCCGAGAGGGAAUCCCGGUUCGUAUUCCCGGAACCCCGACGCGGAAACCGCUCCCUAGUGUUCGGGGCUCUUUUGUCUCGUCUGGGUAACCAGAAUGAAACUCGAAGAAGCCGCCCGGGGGAUCUGGGUAGAGUUCUCUUUUUCUCUGUGAGCGUUGUACGUCCCUGGAAUCCUCUAGCCGGGCGAUAGGGACGCGAGCGCGAAGAGCACCGCUCGUUGCGGCGGUGUCCGUGAUCCCCACGCGGACCUUGAAAAUUCGAGAGAGGGCCACGCGGAGUCUUCGCGUCGGUUCGUACCGAUAUCCGCAGCAGGUCUCCGAGGUGAGCAGCCUCUAGCCGCAUAGAAUAAUGUAGGUAAGGGAAGUCGGCAAAACCGAUCCGUAACUUCGGGAUAAGGAUUGGCUCUGAGGAGCGUGGCUGCCGGGUUCGGGUCGUCGUAGAAGCGUAGGCGUUUUUGGCGACACCCCGGCCGUCGCCCGUGCGCCCGGUCUUCGGAACGGGAGCCUCGAGGCGGCCGCGGGCCCGUCGCCGUCCGCCGACCGUGGAACCACCGAGCUUCGGUCGCUGGCCGCGUCGCGGCCGGCCGACCGCCUUGGUGUCGGUUCGCCGUCACCGGGCGGUCCGGCCGCCGCGCCGUCGGUCGCGUAGCCGGAUCGACAGCCAUGUAACGGUCAACUCAGAACUGGCACGGACCAGGGGAAUCCGACUGUCUAAUUAAAACAAAGCAUCGCGAUGGCCCGGGACGGGUGUUGACGCGAUGUGAUUUCUGCCCAGUGCUCUGAAUGUCAACGUGAAGAAAUUCAAGCAAGCGCGGGUAAACGGCAGGAGUAACUAUGACUCUUUUAAGGUAGCCAAAUGCCUCGUCAUCUAAUUAGUGACGC
rnacentral:ncRNA from 1 species